rnacentral:lncRNA from 1 species
UGUGGUGCAGCAGUUAACAAAUCCGACUAGGGACCAUGAGGUUUCGGGUUUGAUCCCUGGCCUUGCUCAGUGGGUUAAGGAUCCGGCGUUGCUGUGAGCUGUGGUGUCACAGACAUGGCUCGCAUCCCACCUUGCUGUGGCUGUAGCAUAGGCCGGUGGCUACAGCUCUGAUUAGAUCCCUCGCCUGGGAACUUCCAUAUGCCGCAGGAGCGACCCUAGAAAAGGCAAAAAGACAAAAAGACAAAAAAAAAAAAAGCCUUUCAUACUAAUGUUUAACUUUAACAUAAGAUUCCAUACCCCUUUCUUCAAUAUUUUUAGAUUAGGAGAAUAAAUUUUAACAAUAACUACUUUGGUUAUCAGUCUCUCCCAUUACCACAUACGCAACCUCUUUAGUGCCUUGACCAGCUGUAAAAGGAAGAUCUCUGAUAGUGUAUUUAAUGAGAUGGUAGACUAGAAGAGGAUUUUUCUUAGCAAAACUUUGACCUGAGGGUCUAAUGUAUAAUGGUAGUCUUUUGUGUUUAUUCAUUUUUCACAAAAUUAAUUCUCUCUCUAGAGGUUCUUGUGAUAUCUUUAAUUCUGUUCAAAAUCUCAUCAGGAAAUUAUUAGGAGUCUCAUUUUGAAAAUGUAUUCAGACUAAACCCUUGGGAACUUCCAGCUGAUUCUUCUGAGAAUUAUUUGAAACCUUAUUUUUAUUUAAAAAUUUAAUUAAAACAUUUUGUUGGAGCGUUCACAUUGUGGAGCAGUGGAAACAAAUCAGACUAGUAUCCAUGAGGCUAUGGGUUUGAUCCCUGGCCUCGCUCAGUGGGUCGGGAUACAGCAUUGCUGUGAGCUGUGGUGUGAGUCACAGAGGCGGCUCGAUUCGACCCCUAACCUGGGAACUUCCACAUGGCGCGGGUGAGGCCCUAAAAAGACAAAAAAAGUGUUUGCAUUUUAGGGCCUCACCCGGGGCAUAUGGAAGUUCCCAGGCUAGGGGUGGAAUCAGAGCUGUAGCUGUCAGCCUACACCACAGCCACAGCAAUGCAGGAUCUGAGACGUGUCUGCGACCUACACCACAGCUUGUGACAAUACCAGAUCCUUAACCCACUGGGCAAGGCCAGGGAUUAAACCCGAAUCCUCAUGGAUACUAGUUGGGUUCUUAACCCACUGAGCUACAACAGGCUCUCCUAAUUGAAAUUUUUUAUUCAUAAUAAUAAAUCAUGCAUUUACUUUUAUUUAUUAUUUUUUAAGUUUAUGUACAAUGUUAUAUUCUUACUUCUGUAUACAUUACAGCAUGGUCACCUCCAAAAAUUUAACCAAAAAAAAAAAAAUUUGUUGCUUCUUACUUACCCUCACCUAUUUCUCUCCUUCCCCCAACUAUGCCCCGCCCCAAAAGGUUUUGUUUUAAGUACAGUCUUUUGCUGCUUUCAAUCUUCUGAUGUAACCAUCAGUUUCUCAAAGAUCAUAGGAAGAGAUCGGUCAUCUCAUCUGUAUAUUCUUUGGGGUUUUAGAGUCCAGCCAGGUAACGAGAAAUUGCUCCUAGUGUUUUAAACUGGGAAUUUAAUAAAAAGAAUUAGUUACAAAGAAGUCAAAAGGAAUGGUAGGGCAAAAGGGAGAAAUAGGGGUUUGUGAAAGGAAGAAGAGAUGAUACCCAGAGAUCAGAAAGUAAUAUUCUUGGAGUGUAGUUCACAAGCUUAUAUCUACUAUUGCGCUGUUAGAGACUUCACAAUCAAGUCUCAAUCUGCCAAAGCAGUAUCAUCUUAAGCAGGGCUAGAAACUACUGUUGCUGCCACUAUGGCUUCUGUCAACAACUGCAACCCAUCAGAGCCAAAAGCAGGAAGCAUCUCUCUUCCUCCAUUUUCUGGUCUCCUGUCACUGCCUCUUAUUGGCAGACCCCAAGAGUAAGCUAAGUUGGCAAGAGAGCCUGGGAAAUGCACAGAGUAAAGUAUAGAAUGGUAGGAGUAAAGUUGAGAGGCAAUGAGUAAAUUACUGGCACAAGUCCCUAGAAUUUAAUUUUUGCAGAUCAUUGAGAUGUUGUCUUAAGUGUCACUUAAGUCAUCUUUGUAGAUAGUAUUCAUACCAGUAAUUGUCCUACCCUUUCCAGACCAAUGAAUAAUCAUUUUCUAACACAGAGAAAAUAGAGGAAAAAUAGAUACUGGGUAAUUCUGCUUUUUCUAUUCCAUUCUUUAAAGUUUGAGUGUCUGAAAGCUUUGAAUAAAAACUCAACCUAAUACUAUAGUGGU